CACAUGCAAGUCGAGGGGCAGCAUCAUCAAAGCUUGCUUUGAUGGAUGGCGACCGGCGCACGGGUGAGUAACACGUAUCCAACCUGCCGACAACACUGGGAUAGCCUUUCGAAAGAAAGAUUAAUACCGGAUGGUAUAGUUUUCCCGCAUGGGAUAAUUAUUAAAGAAUUUCGGUUGUCGAUGGGGAUGCGUUCCAUUAGGCAGUUGGCGGGGUAACGGCCCACCAAACCUACGAUGGAUAGGGGUUCUGAGAGGAAGGUCCCCCACAUUGGAACUGAGACACGGUCCAAACUCCUACGGGAGGCAGCAGUGAGGAAUAUUGGUCAAUGGACGAGAGUCUGAACCAGCCAAGUAGCGUGAAGGAUGACUGCCCUAUGGGUCGUAAACUUCUUUUAUACGGGAAUAAAGUUAGCCACGUGUGGUUUUUUGUAUGUACCGUAUGAAUAAGGAUCGGCUAACUCCGUGCCAGCAGCCGCGGUAAUACGGAGGAUCCGAGCGUUAUCCGGAUUUAUUGGGUUUAAAGGGAGCGUAGGCGGGUUGUUAAGUCAGUUGUGAAAGUUUGCGGCUCAACCGUAAAAUUGCAGUUGAUACUGGCGACCUUGAGUGCAACAGAGGUAGGCGGAAUUCGUGGUGUAGCGGUGAAAUGCUUAGAUAUCACGAAGAACUCCGAUUGCGAAGGCAGCUUACUGGAUUGUAACUGACGCUGAUGCUCGAAAGUGUGGGUAUCAAACAGG
rnacentral:rRNA from 1 species